GGAGGCCUUUUUGUCUGUUUAAAGAUGUGGAUAAGGAGACGGAAUACAUUUAAGGGAGGAAAACAGGGUGAUAGCCGAAGAAAAGCACAGUAAACAGCAGCAACAGUGAGGAUAGGAGACUCCAGAGAGGCUGGAAACGGACUAGGCCUCAACAUGAAAGCAAAGUACCGUAUUUUUCACUCUAUAGGACGCACUUUUCCCCCUCCAAAAAUUAAGGGGACAUAAUAUUUUUUUUCCUGUUCUCCCCCUCCUAUGGUCCAGUGCGUCCUAUGGCCCGGUGUGUCCUAUAAAGCGAAAAAUACGGUAUUUCAUGGAGUUGGACCAGUGGCUUUCAGGCAAGGGUCCCUCCCAGACCUACCUGGAGGUGUCAGGGAUUGAACCCAAGACCUUCAGCAUGCAGAUCAAGGGGUUUAGUGCUGCGUUGUGUUCCUUCCCC